GAGAUGGAGAAUUCCACCCAUGGGUUCAUUGCCAACAGUCCUCCAACGGUUCCCGUGGGUUUCCUGGGCUCGCCAGACACCACCGGGAGUGAAGGCGCUCAGCUGGACCUCAUUAGCAGGCCUUGUUUUCCAUUCCAGUUUGCCGCUGACCUGGCGCUGGUUAGCGUGCUGCCCCAGGCUGGGAAGGAGCGGGGCACCACCUCAAGCUGAGUCACCCAGCUCAGGGACCGGGAAAGUUACAUAACGAGCCCCACUCCGAGCAUUGAUGCAGAUUCAGGAGAACAAGGACAACAUGGAACAUCGGCUUUAAAUCCGCACAACCCGGUUCCUGUCAGCCUGUUCUCGGCGGCCCGGGAAUCUGAAGCUGGUCCAAAAAGAACACAGGUGGCAAAUGAGGAACUUAAUAAAAAUGUGAACUCCU